CUUCAGGUGAAAUCUUGGAGAUUUAGAAGACCUCGAAAGAGAUUGCUGCUUGGAGUUCUUUGCAUCAUCCUUAUACGAAAUGUGUUGCCAUGAAACAAAUGUGACAAUGAAUAUGGAAAUGCUUCAGUGAUGUGUUGUGUUGUGUUGUUGAGAUAUGAAGAAAAUGGAUCCAGUACUGGUCAUGAUACAUAGCACAAGUGCAUCUGAAUGACAGUGGAAAUGUCACUGCCAGACCAUAACAUCAUUUUUUAGAUGGGUUCAUCCUCGAAAUGAUACUUGCUUGUGUGCCUCAUCCUGCUUGUAGCUUUCUCUUUGAGCCUGCGUGAAUUUCUUUCUAUUCUGCCAUCCGUGCUGGCGUCAUUUUUCUUAUCAAUUAUGCAUGUGUCUUCCAUUGGACGAAGGAAGGAAAAAUGCUCACUGUUUGGCCAUAUUCUGGAGACUAAUAUAGCAUGGGAAGUUGCUGGUUGUGGUAGUCCUGUGUCACCCAGAAUAGAAGUCAGCCGGAACGUGUAAUUUCAGACCGAAUGAGCAGGCAAAUUAUUGGAAACUGGUGAAGGGUGUUGGAGAAAAUUGAUCUACUCCAGACUACGUAACAGAGACAUAUGUGGUCGUAGUGACAGUGGAAAUUUUACCGCCACAACCUUCCAUCAUUUACGAGGUAGCGUAUAUCAGCAUUCCCUUCUGCAGGAGUCAACUUAAUUCUUCUGCUAGUUUAGUCCUAUUUUCC